UACGUAGGGGGCAAGCGUUGUCCGGAUUUAUUGGGCGUAAAGAGCUCGUAGGUGGUUCGGUAAGUCGGAUGUGAAAUCUCCAGGCUCAACCUGGAGGGGUCAUUCGAUACUGCCGUGACUAGAGUUCGGUAGGGGAGUGUGGAAUUCCUGGUGGAGCGGUGAAAUGCGCAGAUAUCAGGAGGAACACCCGUAGCGAGGGCGGCACUCUGGGCCGAUACUGACACUGAGGAGCGAAAGCGUGGGGAGCGAACAGG
rnacentral:rRNA from 1 species